rnacentral:rRNA from 1 species
AGCAGCCGCGGUAAUUCCAGCUCCAAUAGCGUAUAUUAAAGUUGUUGCAGUUAAAAAGCUCGUAGUUGAAUUUCGGGAUCAAAUUGUCGGUCGUGCCUCGGUACGUACUGGUAUUAUUGGUUCCUACCUUCUGAAGAACCGCGAUGUCAUUAAUUUGGUGUCGUGGGGAAUCAGGACUGUUACUUUGAAAAAUUAGAGUGUUUAAAGCAAGCGCACGCUUGAAUACAUUAGCAUGGAAUAAUGAAAUAGGACGUUUGAUUCUAUUUUGUUGGUUUCUAGGAUCGACGUAAUGAUUAAUAGGGAUAGUUGGGGGCAUUAGUAUUCAAUUGUCAGAGGUGAAAUUCUUGGAUUUAUUGAAGACUAACUACUGCGAAAGCAUUUGCCAAGGAUGUUUUCAUUAAUCAAGAACGAAAGUUAGGGGAUCGAAGACGAAUCAGAUACCGUCGUAGUCUUAACCAUAAACUAUGCCGACUAGGGAUCGGAUGAUGUAAUUUUUAAUGACUCAUUCGGCGCCUUACGG